GACAGAGGGUGCAAACGUUGUUCGGAAUUACUGGGCGUAAAGCGGGUGUAGGCGGCUACGCAAGUCGGAUGUGAAAUCCCGAGGCUCAACCCCGGAAGUGCAUUCGAAACUGCGCAGCUAGAGUCCCGGAGAGGAAGGUGGAAUGCUUGGUGUAGAGGUGAAAUUCGUAGAUAUCAAGUAGAACACCGGUGGCGAAGGCGGCCUUCUGGACGGUGACUGACGCUGAGACCCGAAAGCGUGGGGAGCAAACAGGAUUAGAUACCCUGGUAGUCCACGCCGUAAACGAUGAGUGCUAGAUGUCACGGCCUUGACCGCUGUGGCGUCGUAGCUAACGCGUUAAGCACUCCGCCUGGGGAGUACGGCCGCAAGGCUA
rnacentral:rRNA from 1 species